AGGGAAUCUUCCACAAUGGACGGAAGUCUGAUGGAGCAACGCCGCGUGAGUGAUGAAGGUUUUCGGAUCGUAAAACUCUGUUGUAAGGGAAGAACCAGUACGUCAGGCAAUGGACGUACCUUGACGGUACCUUAUUAGAAAGCCACGGCUAACUACGUGCCAGCAGCCGCGGUAAUACGUAGGUGGCAAGCGUUGUCCGGAAUUAUUGGGCGUAAAGCGCGCGCAGGUGGUUUCUUAAGUCUGAUGUGAAAGCCCACGGCUUAACUUUAAUAAGCAUAUGAAACUGUUCAGCUUGAGUUAAGGAGAGGGGAGUGGAAUUCCUAGUGUAGCGGUGAAAUGCGUAGAUAUUAGGAGGAAUACCAGUGGCGAAGGCGACUCUCUGGACUUAAACUGACGCUGAGGCACGAAAGCGUGGGGAGCAAACA
rnacentral:rRNA from 1 species